CCUUCAUGUUACCAGGGUCCGGCACAAUUAACACCCCCUUUUUUAUUACCAAUCUUUUGAUUACAAAAGCAUAAGCAUGUGAUUCUGUAACAUAACAAUAUCACACUCAAGUACACCAUAUAACAUUUUAGGUGAAAUGUUCCAAUUAAAACUA